rnacentral:rRNA from 1 species
UACGAAGGGGGCUAGCGUUGCUCGGAAUCACUGGGCGUAAAGGGUGCGUAGGCGGGUCUUUAAGUCAGGGGUGAAAUCCUGGAGCUCAACUCCAGAACUGCCUUUGAUACUGAAGAUCUUGAGUUCGGGAGAGGUGAGUGGAACUGCGAGUGUAGAGGUGAAAUUCGUAGAUAUUCGCAAGAACACCAGUGGCGAAGGCGGCUCACUGGACCGGAACUGACGCUGAGGCGCGAAAGCUAGGGGAGCAAACGGG